UGUGAAUCAAAUUCGAGAUUUUGAGAUCGUAAUAAGAAGGGAAAUAUCAAGAAUCGAUUGUUAGUGGUGGAGAUAGUUGUGUAAUUGAAUUAGAUUCAGAAGAAGUGAUGUUCACAUAGAUUCAAUGAAUUAGGGUUUCUGGAUUUGAAGCUAGAUUUGCAUGGAACAAAUAAUGAUGAUUUCUAGUUGAUAAUGGAGGAAGAUCGAAUGGGUUGAUGUUGUGUUGAUGAUAUGAGGAUUUUCUGAAAAUGAAUCGAAGAAUCAAACUGAAUUAGGGUUUUCGUGGAGUUGUUCAGAGAAGAGGUAGGAGUUGAAAUUUGAGAGUCUGGAGGAAUGAUUUGAGAUGGGUUUGGAUUGAAUUACAGUUUAAAGUUGAAGAUUGGUUUGAAAUUGAUGAACUAGGGUUUAAUUCUGUUAAGAAGAAGGUGAUAGAAUUAUUUUGAGAGAUGAUAUGUUUGAUGUUUGAGAAAAGAUGGUUUGAGGUAAUUACUUUCUCAGUAAUUUUGUAAAGAUGUUUAUUUUGAUUUUGUUGCCGUUUGAGUAUAAGAAGUUGUUAACGGGAAAGUGAUUUAUGAUAGGUUUGAACUGCAAAUGUAAAUAUAGUGUAGGUUUGUAAUUGAAGCUAAGAUUUGAAUUGAAUAUGGAACUGAACAGUUGGGAUUUAGGUUUGUGAGGAGUUAGUAUCUUGUAGAAUUUUGCAGAAGAGAUGUUAUAGAACUUGGAGAUUAUAUUGACUGGAGAAGAGGAUGGUGUGUGGUCUGUGACAGGUGAAAGAUCAGUAGUAAUGUUUGUGUAGUAGGUUGGUUGCAGUUACUGAGAAUUGAAUGUGUAGAAGAGGGGAGUGGCAGAGAUGUAUGAACUGUAAAUGAAUGAAACUGAAGUUACAAGUGAUGUUGGUUUGCUGAGUGCAGGGUAUUGGAAUUGUUGAUGAAGUUAAAUUGCCAAAUUUAUAGGAUAAAUGAGAAUUGUAAUUUAUGAGAUUUGAGUUCUGUAUUGUGCUAAUUGAGUGGAUUUAGAAUGAAUGGUGAUUGUAGAUAUUCCACAUGGUCGGGGUUAUCUCAGUUCAAGCUUAUAUGUAUGAAGUGGAAGUGGUUAUAGAAUGAAGCGUGUAUAGAUGGAUGUAAUAACUGAAUUGGUGGUGAUUAGAGUUGUAAAUAGUGGUUGCAACAACGAUCGAUUUAAAGGAUGAACCAGUGGAUCGUGGAUCUCGAGGUAGGCGUGGCUUGUCAUCAAAAGAGUUUCAGAGACAAAUCAGAGUUGUGCAGCGGAAGUUUCGCGGCGUUGAGUCUUUUGCUAUGUUUAUUAUGUUGUAUAUUCUAUUUGUAAACCAAAUGACUAUUGUAUAUGUAUCAUUUGAGAGGAGUUUUGAAUUUAUAUAUUUCA